UACGUAGGGUGCAAGCGUUAAUCGGAAUUACUGGGCGUAAAGCGUGCGCAGGCGGUUCGCUAAGACAGAUGUGAAAUCCCCCGGGCUUAACCUGGGAACUGCAUUUGUGACUGGCGGGCUAGAAUAUGUCAGAGGGGGGUAGAAUUCCACGUGUAGCAGUGAAAUGCGUAGAGAUGUGGAGGAAUACCAAUGGCGAAGGCAGCCCCCUGGGAUAAUAUUGACGCUCAUGCACGAAAGCGUGGGGAGCAAACAGG
rnacentral:rRNA from 1 species